UACGAAGGGGGCUAGCGUUGCUCGGAAUCACUGGGCGUAAAGCGCACGUAGGCGGAUUGCUAAGUCAGGGGUGAAAUCCUGGAGCUCAACUCCAGAACUGCCUUUGAUACUGGCGACCUUGAGUCCGGGAGAGGUGAGUGGAAUUCCUGGUGUAGCGGUGAAAUGCGCAGAUAUCAGGAAGAACACCUAUGGCGAAGGCAGCACUCUGGGACGGUACUGACGCUGAGACGCGAAAGCGUGGGGAGCGAACAGG
rnacentral:rRNA from 1 species